rnacentral:rRNA from 1 species
AUUCCAGCUCCAAUAGCGUAUAUUAAAGUUGUUGUGGUUAAAAAGCUCGUAGUUGGAUCUCGGCGGUCUGAGGGCGGUUCGCUUCAGAGCGCUACUGCCCUAUAGACCGUAGUUUUGCCAGAGGUCUCAGGGUGCUCUUAACCGAGUGUCUUGCGAUGCUGGCAGGUUUACUUUGAAAAAAUUAGAGUGCUCAAAGCAGGCUUUUACGCCUGAAUAUUCGUGCAUGGAAUAAUAGAAUAGGAAGUCGUUUCUAUUUUGUUGGUUUUCGGAAAUCGACUUAAUGAUUAAUAGGGACAGUCGGGGGCAUUUGUAUUCAAACGACAGGGGUGAAAUUCUUGGAUUAACGGAAGAUGAACUUCUGCGAAAGCAUCUGCCAAGGAUGUUUUCAUUA